GACUGUUGUCCACUACAGGACUGUUUUAUAAAUUCUUUCUCACAGCUGAAUAAGCUGUUAUUAUUUCACUCCUGCCAGGAAGAGGAAGAGCUGGACACUCUUAUCUGACGCUCCCUAACAAGAAGAGAGGCCGCGUCUUUCUGUAUCCCACAACACACAUGCAUCACUCUUAUCUUCACUCCCUACGCACUAACUUUCCUCUGCCUAUGAAUAGACGUAUUCACUGUUGUAUUAUUUUUGCAUAUAAAUAAAGACAAGUGCAAGAACAGAGCGCGCAUCACAGGGCCCCCACUCUGGUGUGAGCGUUCUGACCGACCGCUUGUAUACAAGUGAAAACCACAGCGUCUGUGUGUGUUUCUACUCUUAGACUCUCAGCUGAAGAAGUGUCUUUAGAAUAAAUCUCUUGACACUUCUUCUUUUUGUUUUUCACCCAGGAGCAGGCUCUUCUCCUGCCAUUUCAUCAACAGUGUAUGAAAAUGUUCAGGUAACUGAUCUACAAAUGGAUAUCUACGACAAUGACACAAAAUAGAAAAAGAAAAGAGAUUUUUCCGGAACCCUGUCGUACCUUCACCCCUGGACCCCUAGACCCGUGAGCGUGAGUGAAGCUGUUCAGCGUGGAGUUUUGUGUGUGCAAGGAGUGAGAGGAGCCGCGUGUGUGUGAAGAUCUUAUGUCCCUUGACUCCUGAAACACUGGCCUUUCCACCCCACGUGUAUAUAGUGGACUCAGUGUGGAUUAAUAAAAAACUGUUUAACUGUACUUUCUGUUUGCGCCUGAGUCCACCUCACCAGCCGUAACAGUACCUCACAGCAGUAGAAUAAUGGCUAUGUAAUACUACUGGUUGCCUGCCUUCUAAAGGCCAAACAUUGUUCGCAGUAAAACAAAAAGCAUUCGGUUUUCAUGAGGGAUAUGAAAACAGAAGAUAAAAUGUGGUCUAUCUAAAAGAGAAAGAAAAGAAAAAUAUAUUAUUAUAUUUAACCUUAAAUGCAAUGUUUUUGAACGAUUAAAACAUCAGUUGCCUCAAGGCGCUUUAUAUUUUAAGAUAAACCCUAAAAUGAUACACACAGAGAAAAACCCAACAAUCAUUUGACCCCUAUGAGCAAGCACUUUGGUGACAGUGGGA